AGACUUAGACUCUCUAAAAGACACAGCAGACCCAGCCUUUCAAACGGAACUCAAAGAUCUGAUGAUGAAUAUAAACUUGAAUCUAUAAAGCAAGUGACUGACAGUUGCCGAGUGCUCAGCUCACCUGUGUGCAGGUCUUACCCUGGCAGCUUUGGAAGUUUCCAGCAAUCUAGCGUAGUAGGGCCUUUUGUCUCAGUGCUUGCCUUAGCAGAGCUGAAGUUGUGAACAAACUCAGGUAGGUCUUCCACAGAGAAGGGAAGCUAAACCCUGGUCUGAGCUUAGAUCGGGUUUUGGGUUUCUCAUUCCUUUUUUUUUUUUUUUUUUUUUUUUAGUAGUCUGCCUGUUCUGGUGCACCCAGAACCUUGGUCAGCUUCUCUUUGUUACCAGUGGUACAGACAGAGCAGCCAGCCAGAGUGGAACUGCAGACUGAAGCCAAAAGGGCUGAAGGCAUGACCUUCUGGCUGUGUCCUGGGCUAACUCAGAUGUAUAGCACCUUUUCAGAAUUUUACUGCUUUCUGAGCCAUUGGGAAAAACAAGCCUGCAUUUCUUCAGUUACAAAAACCCAAGGUAGAUGCAAGAAUUGCUCACGUUUUACCCAACUCUGAGGGCUUUUUGUUGGCCCCCUCCACUGCCCCCAUAUGCCAGUGUAGUUAUAAGAGCCCAGCCAAUAGUAUAACUAUUGUCUGGUCUCCAGGGUUACUUUACAUCUGCUUUGCUAGCUCUUUCUUAAAAUGGGGGUCUGAAGAUCUCUGGCAUCAUAAUCAGAAAUCGGGAUGUUGGAAAUUUUUUACAACACCAAACACCUGGGAAAUUCUGCUCUUGAGGCGAUUUGAGGCAAUUGCAAUGGUGUUGUAAUUCACGUCUGCCUAAAUAGCUCUAGGGACACUUAUUUGCCACAUCAUGUUGAGGUCACUGCGUAUGAUAGCCACCUACCUCUUUAAUUUCUAAUUUAUAUUUAUCAAAGGUAGAUAUGUCCUUGUCCAUUGACAUCACAUAGGACAGUAGUAGAUAUUAGCAAUAUGUUUUUCAUUGCCAAUCUAAACCGGAUUUUAGGCAGAUAUUAAUACAGAUGUUAAAAGUUCAACUGUAGGGAAAGACAGCACUGUGAAUAUUGAUAGCUUGGUAGCUUCUGAGACUUCUUUUGUGACCAUACUUGAACUGGGUUUCUCAUUUUGUAUUCUUGCUUAUGUGCAGUUGAAGGUACUCUCUUCUGGUUUAUAGGUAAGUGCUCUGGGGAGACUGCAGAGCUAACAGAAGCAACCAUGGGGAAGCAGACAUAGAACAGUAGCUCUCUUACACUGGAUAAUCUGGUCAGACUACAGUUUACAGAUCACUUUAGAUAUUUUAAUUAUAUAUACAUUUUGAAAGUUUUAGGAAAAAAUACUGUGGUGCACCAUUAAGGAAUUUAGGUAUAAAAUUGCACGUUGCCUAUUAUUCCAUGUUUUCUUGAUGGGGAAAAUACCACUACAAACCACUGCUGACUGACAUAAGCAGAAAUUACUUAUAUUUCCUCCUAGUUAAUAUGCAUGAAAGAAAUAAGAAAAUAUUUGUUGUUAAAGAACAAAAAAGAGUAAAGAGACAUUUCAAAUAGUUUGCAGUAGUGAUAUUUAAAUUUAAUACAGGUUUGAAUAUCCGCAGGAAGGCUAACAAUAUAAAUUCCUGGGCCUCUGGGUCAAAGGUUGGAUGCAGGAAUGUUUAUUUUCUUUCUGUUGAGUAUUUUGCCUGAUUCUGGUUCAGAUGGUCCCCAGAGCACAAUUACAAGAAACACUCCUGUAGAAAAUAAGAAUUUCAUUGAAAUACUAUCUGUUUUAUCUUAGAGUAGUUGUGUGUUGGGAGCCAGUGGUGAUAGUCAACGAAAGGCAGUCUACACGGUGUGUGCCUGUCCGGUUGCCACGUGUGCUGGCACAGAUUUGGCCAGCACCAGCUUUCCUUUCUUUGCACUGGCGAAGUCUGAUGAACCAUGUGGUUUCACAGUAGGGGUCAACAAAUGACUCACUAAUUGUAAGUCAUGACUUCCACAAGGCUAAUUAGUAUAGUAUUUUUUUUUUUCCUGCAGAUGUCUCUGUAGGGCAUCUCUUCAUUAUAUGUAAUUUCCUGGAGAGAGUGAGGAAAAUGUAAAGGUUCAUCUAACUCCUAGUUCUCUGCUCAGACCGGGUGUUCAUCUGGAGCGUGGAAUAAAAUAAAAUAACCUUUCAGUCUUCAUACUCUUGUUGGUGACAAAGAGAUUUGAUUUCUUUGAUAUUUGCUUUGUUUACAUGAGAAUGUGUCGGUAUAGACCACAAACAUUUCCACAUGCUUGCUAUUUUCUCCUGUCAUGAUUUUUAUUUGACUUUUAAUUACUAGUAGAUUCAAAUUUAUUUCCAUAACCAUAAUUUUGAUGAACUGAACUUCAACUUCAUUGAAGAUACAACUUUUAUAAUAAUAAAAAUACAAAAGCACAUGUUUGUUCUUGCAAAUAAAUGUUAGUACAUUUCUUAGCUAUCUAUAGGUACUUGUCAUUUGUAAUUAAAAUUAAUUUAUUUUAAGAUGGCACCAAGCCCUUAAAUGAAUGAAAAGCUUAAUUUGGGGCUGUAAAUUUAAAUAUCGAAAGUAUGUUUAUUUGUUAAUAUUCUUAUUACAACCAAGAAAAGAGCUAUCAAUAAAAAAAUG
rnacentral:lncRNA from 1 species